rnacentral:tRNA from 1 species
AAGACGCUAGUAAACAAGAUUACACUGUUUUGUCAAGACAGAAUAGCGGGUUUAAAUCCCGCGCGCCUUA